UCCAUAUCUCCGUCGGGGCUCCCCGGCGCGC
rnacentral:sRNA from 1 species